rnacentral:rRNA from 1 species
GAUGAACGCUGGCGGCGUGCCUAAUACAUGCAAGUCGAGCGAACAGAUGAGGAGCUUGCUCCUCUGACGUUAGCGGCGGACGGGUGAGUAACACGUGGAUAACCUACCUAUAAGACUGGGAUAACUUCGGGAAACCGGAGCUAAUCCCGGAUAAUAUUUUGAACCGCAUGGUUCAUUAUUGAAAGACGUUUUUGCUUUCACUUAUAGAUGGAUCCGCGCCGCAUUAGCUAGUUGGUAAGGUAACGGCUUACCAAGGCAACGAUGCGUAGCCGACCUGAGAGGGUGAUCGGCCACACUGGAACUGAGACACGGUCCAGACUCCUACGGGAGGCAGCAGUAGGGAAUCUUCCGCAAUGGGCGAAAGCCUGACGGAGCAACGCCGCGUGAGUGAUGAAGGUCUUCGGAUCGUAAAACUCUGUUAUUAGGGAAGAACAAAUGUGUAAGUAACUAUGCACGUCUUGACGGUACCUAAUCAGAAAGCCACGGCUAACUACGUG